GAGUUUGAUCGUGGCUCAGGACGAACGCUGGCGGCGUGCUUAACACAUGCAAGUCGAACGAGAAUCUACUGAAAGAGUUUUCGGACAAUGGAAGUAGAGGAAAGUGGCGGACGGGUGAGUAACGCGUGAGGAACCUGCCUUGAAGAGGGGACAACAGUUGGAAACGACUGCUAAUACCGCAUGAUGCAUAAGGGUCGCAUGAUUCUUAUGCCAAAGAUUUAUCGCUUCAAGAUGGCCUCGCAUCUGAUUAGCUAGUUGGCGGGGUAACGGCCCACCAAGGCGACGAUCAGUAGCCGGACUGAGAGGUUGAACGGCCACAUUGGGACUGAGAUACGGCCCAGACUCCUACGGGAGGCAGCAGUGGGGAAGUAUUGGGCGAAUGGGCGCAAGCCUGACCCAGCAACGCCGCGUGAAGGAAGAAGGCUUUCGGUAUGUAAACUUCUAUCAGCAGGGAGAAAAUGACGGUACCUGACUAAGAAGCCCGGCC
rnacentral:rRNA from 1 species